UACGAAGGGGGCUAGCGUUGUUCGGAAUUACUGGGCGUAAAGGGCGCGUAGGCGGUACUUCAAGUCGGGUGUGAAAUUUCGGAGCUUAACUCCGAAACUGCAUUCGAUACUGCGGUGCUUGAGGACUGGAGAGGAGACUGGAAUUCAUGGUGUAGCAGUGAAAUGCGUAGAGAUCAUGAGGAAGACCAGUGGCGAAGGCGGGUCUCUGGACAGUUCCUGACACUGAGGCACGAAGGUCAGGGGAGCAAACGGG
rnacentral:rRNA from 1 species